GAUGAACGCUGGCGGCGUGCCUAAUACAUGCAAGUCGAGCGAACAGAUGAGGAGCUUGCUCCUCUGACGUUAGCGGCGGACGGGUUAGUAACACGUGGAUAACCUACCUAUAAGACUGGGAUAACUUCGGGAAACCGGAGCUAAUACCGGAUAAUAUAUUGAACCGCAUGGUUCAAUAGUGAAAGACGGUUUUGCUGUCACUUAUAGAUGGAUCCGCGCCGCAUUAGCUAGUUGGUAAGGUAACGGCUUACCAAGGCAACGAUGCGUAGCCGACCUGAGAGGGUGAUCGGCCACACUGGAACUGAGACACGGUCCAGACUCCUACGGGAGGCAGCAGUAGGGAAUCUUCCGCAAUGGGCGAAAGCCUGACGGAGCAACGCCGCGUGAGUGAUGAGGGUCUUCGGAUCGUAAAACUCUGUUAUUAGGGAAGAACAAAUGUGUAAGUAACUAUGCACGUCUUGACGGUACCUAAUCAGAAAGCCACGGCUAACUACGUG
rnacentral:rRNA from 1 species